AACGAACGCUGGCGGCAUGCCUAACACAUGCAAGUCGAACGAGACCUUCGUGUCUGGUUGCGCACGCGUGCGUAACGCGUGGGAACCUUCCCUUAUGUUCCGAAUACCUCCCCUACGGGGGGGCUAAUACCGGAUAAUUUCCGCGGACCAAAGAUUUAUCGAGCUUGGGUGGGCCCGAGUUGGUUUAGCUAGGUGGUAGUGUAAAAGCCUACGAAGGCUACGAUCCAUAGCUGGUCUGAGAGAAUGAUCAGCGACACUGGGACUGAGACACGGCCCAGAAUACUAGGGGAGGGAGGAGUGGCGGAUACUGGAAGAUGGGCGAAAGCAUGAUCCCGCAAUGCCGGGUGAGUGAUGAAGGCCUUAGAGAUGUGAAGCUGUUUUACACGGGACGAUAAUGACAGUACCGGGAGAAUAAGCACCGGCUAACUCCGUG
rnacentral:rRNA from 1 species